UGGCUCAGUGGUAGAGCACUUGCUUUGCAUGCAUGAGGCCCUGGGUUCGAUUCCUCAG
rfam:Dipodomys ordii contig_59154, whole genome shotgun sequence.